ensembl:misc_RNA Y_RNA Y RNA
GGUUGAUCUGAAGAUAAUAUGUUAUCUCAACUGAUUGCUCACAGUCAGUUACAGAUCAAACUCCCUGUUCUGUUCUUAUCCCCCUUCUCACUACUGUACUUGCCUAAUCUAAA